rnacentral:rRNA from 1 species
UACGGAGGGUGCGAGCGUUAUUCGGAAUGAUUGGGCGUAAAGCGCAUGUAGGCGGAUAAUUAAGUCAGGUGUGAAAGCCCCGGGCUCAACCUUGGAAUUGCACUUGAAACUGGUUAUCUAGAGUAUGGUAGAGGAAGGUGGAAUUCCAAGUGUAGCGGUGAAAUGCGUAGAGAUGGGGAGGAAUACCGGUGGCGAAGGCGGCCUUCUGGACAGAAACUGACGCUGAGAUGCGAAAGCGUGGGGAGCAAACAGG